CCUACGGGAGGCAGCAGUGGGGAAUUUUGGACAAUGGGGGCAACCCUGAUCCAGCAAUGCCGCGUGAGUGAAGAAGGCCUUCGGGUUGUAAAGCUCUUUUGUCAGGGAAGAAACGGCAGUUUCUAAUACAAGCUGCUAAUGACGGUACCUGAAGAAUAAGCACCGGCUAACUACGUGCCAGCAGCCGCGGUAAUACGUAGGGUGCAAGCGUUAAUCGGAAUUACUGGGCGUAAAGCGUGCGCAGGCGGUUAUAUAAGUCAGAUGUGAAAUCCCCGGGCUCAACCUGGGAACUGCAUUUGAGACUGUAUGGCUAGAGUGUGUCAGAGGGGGGUAGAAUUCCACGUGUAGCAGUGAAAUGCGUAGAUAUGUGGAGGAAUACCGAUGGCGAAGGCAGCCCCCUGGGAUAACACUGACGCUCAUGCACGAAAGCGUGGGGAGCAGACAGGAUUAGAUACCCUGGUAGUCCGACGACCUAACCGACUGUCUACUAGUUGUCGGUCGUUAUUAGUACUUGUACGUACGAGCGUACGACGUGAGUAGACGCCGUGGGUAGGUACGGUUCGCGAGAAGUUAAACGUUAACGAAGGAAGUUAGAGGCGNGAGACGNGCGACGGACGACGACGAGGGAGGAGG
rnacentral:rRNA from 1 species